AGUCAUAUGGAGCUCAAAAAUGAAGUUUUAUUUUCUGAUUAUUUUUUCUCAUCAUGACCUUGGAUACUACCAUUGAAAUAUUUUUUUAAGGUCUAAAUCAUUUGACAUUGCAAGUUGAGAUAUGCAGAUGUUGACUUAGUUUGCUAGCUGGUUUGCUAAAAUCGUUAGUUUACUAACCAGUUUACUGACUGCUCCUAAAAUUUCAUUAGUUUGCUAAUUUAUCAGAGCUGCUCAACUUCGCACAAA
rnacentral:misc_RNA from 1 species